rnacentral:rRNA from 1 species
CGAGUGGCGGACGGGUGAGUAAUGUCUGGGAAACUGCCUGAUGGAGGGGGAUAACUACUGGAAACGGUAGCUAAUACCGCAUAACGUCGCAAGACCAAAGAGGGGACCUUCGGGCCCCUUGCCAUCGGAUGUGCCCAGAUGGGAUUAGCUAGUAGGUGGGGUAACGGCUCACCUAGGCGACGAUCCCUAGCUGGUCUGAGAGGAUGACCAGCCACACUGGAACUGAGACACGGUCCAG